GAAAUCCAAUUGUUUGUUUCAUCCCUCAGCUGCUAAGAAGAUAAGGAGGAGGCAUUGAAAGUACUCAACGGACACAAAUGGAAAGGACAGGUGCUCAAAGCCAAGCUCGCCAAGUCAGUUGAGGACCCGGACACUAAGAGCCUCGCUCGGAAGAGAAGCCAAGAGGAAUCUGAUGGAAACACCCAAGAAGCUAAGAGGAGGAAGGAGGAGGACAGCUGACCAGUAGAAGAGAGGUUAAACAACACAGUGACUCCACUAUGGAACCAGCUGUAUGAGGACCAGCUAUCCACCAAACAGACCAACACCAGGGAGUGUCUUGUCUUGAUGCAUGGCCAGUGUAUGGAAGGACGGCAACCGGCAUGUCAGGUGUGUUCAGGGUCUGUGACUGGUUCCUAUU